UUGUUCUUUAAAUGGGGACUCGUAUCAACGGCAUCACGAGGGUUCUACUGUCUCCUUUCUCUAAUCAGUGAAACUAAUCUCCCCGUGAAGAAGCGAGGAUAACACUAUAAGACGAGAAGACCCCAUGGAGCUUUAAACCCAAUUAUAUCCCUAACCCCUAUACCCAUUUAACCUCUUAGGCCUAUAUACUUGGUUUUAGGUUGGGGCGACCACGGAGUAAAACCAAACCUCCAUGAUGUACGGAACAACCUCCUUAUCU
rnacentral:rRNA from 1 species